rnacentral:rRNA from 1 species
CCCAGACUCCUACGGGAGGCAGCAGUGGGGAAUAUUGCACAAUGGGGGAAACCCUGAUGCAGCGACGCCGCGUGAGUGAAGAAGUAUUUCGGUAUGUAAAGCCCUAUCGGCAGGGAAGAAGAAAGACGGUACCUGACUAAGAAGCCCCGGCUAACUACGUGCCAGCAGCCGCGGUAAUACGUAGGGGGCGAGCGUUAUCCGGAUUCACUGGGUGUAAAGGGAGCGUAGACGGCCAAGCAAGCCAGGGGUGAAAGCCCGGGGCCCAACCCCGGGACUGCCCUUGGAACUGCAUGGCUGGAGUGCGGGAGGGGCAGGCGGAAUUCCUGGUGUAGCGGUGAAAUGCGUAGAUAUCAGGAGGAACACCGGCGGCGAAGGCGGCCUGCUGGACCGCGACUGACGUUGAGGCUCGAAAGCGUGGGGAGCAAACAGGAUUAGAUACCCGGGUA